GAAAAGCCACUAAGCUUCAGCUACACACGACCGUACCGCAAACCGACACUGGUGCGCGAGAUGAGUAUUCUAAGGCGCUUGAGAGAACUCGGGAGAAGGAACUCGGCAAAUUGACACCGUAACUUCGGAAGAAGGUGUGCCCUAUUAGUGUGAAGUGAACAACGGAGCAUGAAUGGGUUGCAAAAAAUCGGUGGCUGCGACUGUUUAUUAAAAACACAGCACUCUGCAAACACGAAAGUGGACGUAUAGGGUGUGACGCCUGCCCGGUGCUGGAAGAUUAAAUGAUGGGGUGCAAGCUCUUGAUUGAAGUCCCAGUAAACGGCGGCCGUAACAAUAACGGUCCUAAGGUAGCGAAAUUCCUUGUCGGGUAAGUUCCGACCUGCACGAAUGGCGUAACGAUGGCCACACUGUCUCCUCCCGAGACUCAGCGAAGUUGAAAUGUUUGUGAUGAUGCAAUCUCCCCGCGGAAAGACGGAAAGACCCCAUGAACCUUUACUGUAGCUUUGUAUUGGACUUUGAACAGAUCUGUGUAGGAUAGGUGGGAGGCUUUGAAGCAGGGUCGCUAGAUCUUGUGGAGCCAACGUUGAAAUACCACCCUGGUGUGUUUGAGGUUCUAACCUAGGUCCAUUAUCUGGAUCGGGGACAGUGCAUGGUAGGCAGUUUGACUGGGGCGGUCUCCUCCCAAAGCGUAACGGAGGAGUUCGAAGGUACGCUAGUUACGGUCGGACAUCGUGACGAUAGUGCAAUGGCAUAAGCGUGCUUAACUGCGAGACUGACAAGUCGAGCAGAUGCGAAAGCAGGACAUAGUGAUCCGGUGGUUCUGUAUGGAAGGGCCAUCGCUCAACGGAUAAAAGGUACUCUGGGGAUAACAGGCUGAUACCGCCCAAGAGUUCAUAUCGACGGCGGUGUUUGGCACCUCGAUGUCGGCUCAUCUCAUCCUGGGGCUGUAGCCGGUCCCAAGGGUAUGGCUGUUCGCCAUUUAAAGAGGUACGUGAGCUGGGUUUAAAACGUCGUGAGACAGUUUGGUCCCUAUCUUCCGUGGGCGCUGCAGACUUGAGGAAGCCUGCUCCUAGUACGAGAGGACCGGAGUGGACGCACCUCUGGUGUAUCGGUUGUCACGCCAGUGGCAUUGCCGAGUAGCUAUGUGCGGAAGAGAUAACCGCUGAAAGCAUCUAAGCGGGAAACUCGUUCCAAGAUGAGAUCUGCCGGGGCCUUGAGCCCCCUAAAGAGUCGUUCAAGACCAGGACGUUGAUAGGUCGGGUGUGGAAGCGCAGUAAUGCGUUAAGCUAACCGAUACUAAUUGCUCGUGCGGCUUGACCCC
rnacentral:rRNA from 1 species